GUGGUCAAAUGUUUCUGUGCAGAGAGCAAGAUGGAGUCACUCAUGUCAAGCAGAGGCCCGUUUCGAGCAAUGACACAGCAGGUUUCCUCCUCGGACUCAUUCCCCAAGAUCCGAUUUGAUUCACGGAGCAUUUACUGAGCCCUUCCAAUGUGCCCAGCAGUAUGGUAGUUGCUGAGAACACGCGUAGCGCGCAGGUGCUAAUUUGGAGUUAGCGUCUCUAGCAUUUUGAGACUAAAGGCUUGAAAAGGUGGUGUUGCCUCGAAUGGAAGACGACACUUGAUUUUCUCCACAUGGCAGAGAAGCUGGCCGACCGCUGACUCUGCAUCACAUCCUCCCAGUUCCAUGUUCUAAAAGGCAACUCCCCUUCUCCUCCAGCUCCAAGC